AACCUUUAGAUAAACAAAUAUUAAAGGCAACGCCUGCCCAGUGAAUAAUUAAACGGCCGCGGUACCCUAACCGUGCAAAGGUAGCAUAAUCAUUUGUCUACUAAUUAUAGACCAGUAUGAAAGGCAAAAUGAGGGUCUGACUGUCUCUUAUAAUAAAUCAAUGAAACUGAUCUCCUAGUAAAAAAGCUAGAAUACCACCAUAAGACCAGAAGACCCUGUGAAGCUUAAACUAAACUAUUAAAACACAUAAUAAUUACUUUCGGUUGGGGCGACCUUGGAAAAAAAAAGAACUUCCAAACACCACUGAGCCUUACCUCAGACUAUAGGCCCACAAGCCAAAAACUGACCCAGUAUAGCUGAAAAUUGAACCAAGUUACUCCAGGGAUAACAGCGCAAUCUUCUUCAAGAGCCCAUAUCAAAAAGAAGGUUUACGACCUCGAUGUUGGAUCAGGACAUCCUAAUGGUGCAGCCGCUAUUAAGGGUUCGUUUGUUCAACGAUUAAUAGUCCU
rnacentral:rRNA from 1 species